GAAGAGAGGGAGAGGAAAAACGUGUAAUCACCCAAACAUCCACUUUUAGCCGUUCCACCCCCCCACUGGAUGCGCGUUAAGGUAAGAAAAAAGCCGCUUUGUGGUCCGAGCUGCGGCGCACAGACUGCUGUCACAGGUCCUCUGCUCCCUCACAGGAGGCAGCCGGUUUGGACUGCACUGCGGACACUGAGAGGACGGACCGGGCCGCCGAGGACGCGCCGAGAGGAUAAGAAGACAGAGUUGGGGAGCUCUGGUGAAUGGAGAACUUUCCUAAGAUUGCUGCUAUUCUCCAGCUUAUUGCAUCCUGUCGUUUGUAGUUUCACAUGACGUCCAGUACGCCGCGGCUGCUCCGGCCAAUAAACAAGCUGAUAGAACUGUUGUCUAGUGGAUCAGGGCUCAAAGGGCUCAGAUGCUUUAGAGGAUCUGGCUAACUGCCCUGGUUACCACUGUUAUG